rnacentral:rRNA from 1 species
AAUCUUGCGCAAUGGGCGAAAGCCUGACGCAGCGACGCCGCGUGAGUGAUGAAGGCCUUAGGGUUGUAAAGCUCUGUGGAGAGGGACGAAUAAGGCAUGGCGAAUAGCCAUGUUGAUGACGGUACCUUUUUAGCAAGCACCGGCUAACUCUGUGCCAGCAGCCGCGGUAAGACAGAGGGUGCAAACGUUGUUCGGAAUUACUGGGCGUAAAGCGCGUGUAGGCGGUUGCACAAGUCGGGUGUGAAAGCCCAGGGCUCAACCCUGGAAGUGCACUCGAAACUGUGCGACUAGAGGCUCGGAGAGGAAAGCGGAAUUCUGGGUGUAGAGGUGAAAUUCGUAGAUAUCCAGAGGAACACCGGUGGCGAAGGCGGCUUUCUGGACGAGUUCUGACGCUGAGACGCGAAAGCGUGGGGAGCAAAC